GAUCUGCUAUAGGAAACACAGAGUAAACUUGAGAUAAUGCCGCAUUUGCUCAUAUUUACGAGCAAAUGCGGCAUUAUCUACAAGUUUACUCUGUGUUUCCUAUGGUGGUAAAUC